CUCCACCGGAAAAAGAAGAGUGGCGAACGGGUGAGUAACACGUGGGUAACCUGCCCAUCAGAAGGGGAUAACACUUGGAAACAGGUGCUAAUACCGUAUAACAAUCGAAACCGCAUGGUUUUGAUUUGAAAGGCGCUUUCGGGUGUCGCUGAUGGAUGGACCCGCGGUGCAUUAGCUAGUUGGUGAGGUAACGGCUCACCAAGGCCACGAUGCAUAGCCGACCUGAGAGGGUGAUCGGCCACAUUGGGACUGAGACACGGGCCCAAACUCCUUACGGGAGGCACCAGUAGGGAAUCUUCGGCAAUGGACGAAAGUCUGACCGAGCAACCCCGCGUGAAUGAAAAAAGUUUUCGGAUCGUAAAACUCUGUUGUUAGAGAAGAACAAGGAUGAGAGUAACUGUUCAUCCCUUGACGGUAUCUAACCAGAAAGCCACGGCUAACUACGUGCCAGCAGCCGCGGUAAUACGUAGGUGGCAAGCGUUGUCCGGAUUUAUUGGGCGUAAAGCGAGCGCAGGCGGUUUCUUAAGUCUGAUGUGAAAGCCCCCGGCUCAACCGGGGAGGGUCAUUGGAAACUGGGAGACUUGAGUGCAGAAGAGGAGAGUGGAAUUCCAUGUGUAGCGGUGAAAUGCGUAGAUAUAUGGAGGAACACCAGUGGCGAAGGCGGCUCUCUGGUCUGUAACUGACGCUGAGGCUCGAAAGCGUGGGGAGCAAACAGGAUUAGAUACCCUGGUAGUCCACGCCGUAAACGAUGAGUGCUAAGUGUUGGAGGGUUUCCGCCCUUCAGUGCUGCAGCUAACGCAUUAAGCACUCCGCCUGGGGAGUACGACCGCAAGGUUGAAACUCAAAGGAAUUGACGGGGGCCCGCACAAGCGGUGGAGCAUGUGGUUUAAUUCGAAGCAACGCGAAAAACCUUACCAGGUCUUGACAUCCUUUGACCACUCUAGAAAAAGACCUUCCCCUUCGGGGGCAAAGUGACAGGUGGUGCAUGGUUGUCGUCAGCUCGUGUCGUGAGAUGUUGGGUUAAGUCCCGCAACGAGCGCAACCCUUAUUGUUAGUUGCCAUCAUUCAGUUGGGCACUCUAGCAAGACUGCCGGUGACAAACCGGAGGAAGGUGGGGAUGACGUCAAAUCAUCAUGCCCCUUAUGACCUGGGCUACACACGUGCUACAAUGGGAAGUACAACGAGUCGCGAAGUCGCGAGGCUAAGCUAAUCUCUUAAAGCUUCUCUCAGUUCGGAUUGUAGGCUGCAACUCGCCUACAUGAAGCCGGAAUCGCUAGUAAUCGCGGAUCAGCACGCCGCGGUGAAUACGUUCCCGGGCCUUGUACACACCGCCUGUCACACCACGAGAGUUUGUAA
rnacentral:rRNA from 1 species